rnacentral:rRNA from 1 species
AACGAACGCUGGCGGCAGGCUUAACACAUGCAAGUCGAGCGCCCCGCCCGGGGUGUGGCCGGCGGCUGGGUAACCCGUGGGGACGUACCCUUUGGUUUGGACCAACCCCGGGAAACUGGAGCUAAUACCGGAUAAGCCCUAACGGGGGAAGAUUGAUCGCCGUAGGAUCGGCGCGCGUCUGAUUUGCUAGUUGGUGAGGUAACAGCACAGCAUGGCGACGUUCAGUUGCUGGGGUGGGUGCACGAUCAGCCACACUGGGACUGAGACACGGGCCAGACUCCGACGGGGGGGAGCAGUGUGGAAUAUAGGAGAAUGGGGGCAAGCCUGACCCAGCCAUGCCGGGGAAGUGAUGAAGGCCGUAGGGUUGUAAAGCUCUUUUGGCCGGGAAGAUAAUGACGGUACCGGAAGAAUAAGCCCCGGCUAACUACGUG